AGCUUCAUCAUUUACAUAUAGGUGGUUCAGUUUCUCGUUACCUCGAUGUAGAUAGAACUAGAAGACUUUCAAUUCUCUGUGCUAAUAUUUUUCGUGUUCGGGUCUUAUUAUUUUUCGGAUAAUUGCCCCCCCCCCCCGACCCGUGCUGUGCAAUAUAAUUUAUGUGUUUGUGAACUAUCCUGUUCCCGCCCUAAGAUGAACGUUCAAAUGUUCAAACUGUUAUCAUUGUCGAUUUACGUAGGUUAGACAGAAGAAGAUUCUACGGUUUAUUCACAAAUCACGAUUAUUAAUAACUACAUACCUUCUCAUCGGAAAUUCCUGUGCCCGCCACAAUCCGUAUGAUGCAUCUAACUACACGUCCGUCAUAUUUUUCUCCUUAUCCGUUCGACAACUGCUCGCCAAAUAUGGAGUCUCGGUCUAUACGUGUAAUAAUAAUUGGCUAAAAACAUC